UACGGAGGAUCCGAGCGUUAUCCGGAUUUAUUGGGUUUAAAGGGUGCGCAGGUUGUUUGAUAAGUCAGUGGUGAAAGUCUGUCGCUUAACGGUAGGAUUGCCAUUGAUGCUGUUAGACUUGAAUAUGGAUGAGGUAGGCGGAAUGUGUAGUGUAGCGGUGAAAUGCAUAGAUAUUACACAGAACACCGAUUGCGAAGGCAGCUUACUGGGAUGCAACUGACGCUGAGGCACGAAAGCGUGGGUAUCAAACA
rnacentral:rRNA from 1 species